UACGUAGGGCGCAAGCGUUGUCCGGAAUUAUUGGGCGUAAAGAGCUCGUAGGCGGCUUGUCACGUCGGGUGUGAAAGCCCGGGGCUUAACCCCGGGUCUGCAUUCGAUACGGGCAGGCUAGAGUGUGGUAGGGGAGAUCGGAAUUCCUGGUGUAGCGGUGAAAUGCGCAGAUAUCAGGAGGAACACCCAUGGCGAAGGCAGCAAACUGGUCAUCAACUGACGCUGAGGCGCGAAAGCGUGGGUAGCAAACAGG
rnacentral:rRNA from 1 species